GAGAGAGAGAGAGAGAGAGAGAGAGAGAGAGAGAGAGAGAGAGAGAGAGAUUGAGAUUGGAGAAAAAACUUUUCCGAACUUCGAAUUCCGCCUUCAGUUGCAGACUCGAGAGUCACCGUGAUCAGUUCUCGCUGUGUGGCCCUGCUUCAUAGAGGACUCCCACAAAGGGCCUGGAUGACGCAGCACAACAAUGAGGAGGUCAAGUAAGACACCGUAGAAAGGUUGGCUCUAGCUGAGAGUUACUUCUGGUUCCUGAAUUCUGACUCUGUCUCCCAAGGUUAAGCGCUCUACCGCGGAGUUACAGACUCGGCCCAGAUUUUGCAAAUUUACAACUCAAAAGACACGACGUAAAACUGCUGUAACACAUGAGAAUGAAAGAGCACAAUGAUACAAGAUUGAAAAGGUGAUGAAACCUUUCAAACCUCCAGGCUUUUGUUGAAAGAGAUUAAUAGCGACUCCUCACGUUGGAACGGCAAUAAAAUUGGGAAGAGAUCAUGGGCAUCCGAAAUCCUAUAUGCUGAGCAACGGUCACACAAGACUUUGCUCUGAUUGCAUAGGCAUUAGCAAGAAAUGCCAGCGGACCAAGUGGCCUCAGGAGAGGUACCCACUCUCCUGACACUUAAGGUGAUGGGUCACUCUCAUCCCAGUGACUGACGCCAACAUCCCUCUUCUGUGGUCUCCGUUACCUAGAGGCGCUCCUCCGACAGAUGGGAGGAGACAAAGGACAAAGAUGGGAGAACUUGUAAACAAGGAAGAAAAGGCUUUUGUUCCAGGUUCCUGCCUUCGCCUCCCUUGAUGAAGGAAUGUAAGAUACAAGAUGAAAUAAACUCUCACCUCCCCAUGUCGCUUUUGGUCAUGACAUUUAUCACAGCAACAGAAAUGCGAACUGGAGCAACUUAUAAAUGAGAUGUUCAUGCUGGGCGGUGGUGGCGCACGCCUUUAAUCCCAGCACUUGGGAGUCAGAGCCAAGUGGAUCUCUAAAAUUCCUAUUUACCUCCCAAUCUCCAUUCUGAGUUCCGCUCUCUUAAGCGUUAGUGUCGCAGGUAAGUGCCAAGCCAAGGUGACUAAGUGGAUGUCAGGCCAGUUGCAGAAACAGAGGGAAGACUUAACUAAUGGCACAGGUCUUCUGAGUCAAUGGACCCCGUCUCUUCUGAUUUCAUUAUCAAUUCACCACAGGAACCUGACAGAGUCAGAUGUUAAGUCCAAUUUAAAAGCUGAAAGACAAAAAGAUGGGGGAAAGAUCCAAUCUCAGAGUCAGGUAAAAACAUCAUAAUUCAGAGUAAAUCUUUAUUAUUGAUUUAUAGCCACAGACUGUUGUCCAAAGGUUUCCUCUUUAAAUUAAGAAUACUAAUGAUUUUGCACCCUGAAAUAAUCCAAGAGCUGUAGAUAUUAGAAAAAGGGAUUGAAUGUGUUCUUCAACCGGAAAGUGCCAAUAAAUGGAUAUUGGGUCUGUUUCCUCAGCAACUGGCCAGCGAUGUGAGAAUCCCUGGUUUCAGGGAGCUGAGAUUUGUGAUAAAGCAGCCUGUUUGCUGAGGCUCCUGUAACCUCCAACACAGUGACUUUCUGAUAAACAGAUAGACUGAGAAUACAAGUUCUGCCUAAUUAGUUUGGAGACUAGAAGAGGCAACACAGACCCCAUGCGAGGCAUGCUGGGAAACCUAGACCUGGGCAAAGUGCUGAUCCUUUCUAGAGAAAACUAGUAGUUGCCAGGAAACCAAGAAGCCCCCCCCCCCCCACCCCUACCCCAUCCCGGGAAUACCAAAUAAAUGUUACUAGGAAAUUGCUAUAGAGUAGUUUUACUACUGAGUAUUUUAAAUUACCUUGUGCUAUGGUGUAUGUGUGUAUGCGGCUCAGAAAUCACUUCUGUGAUAUCAUAGCAUGGAAGGGGGUCUUUCCACCAUUAAGCAAGUAGUUCUGUAGCUGCAGAUCCCCCGCUGGGUGUCCUCUAAUGCAAUUAAGUUCUGGCACUGUGUACCUGGGGACAGCCUCAGAUCCCCAUCUGCCAAACUGCCCCCUACCUUGAGGUACCAGGCACUGCUGUUUUUAUGUGGACAGCUGACGGGCUGUACCUGGGAGUUCCCACAAUUCCCUCCAAGAGUAGUUCAAAGAAUGGAGCGAAAGACAUUUACUAGUUUACUCUACAGAGCACAGAACGUUUUUAUAAAGAGACACACAGGGUGAGGAGUGAGAGGAAGGCUACAGAAAGUCUGUCUCCUUUGGGACUCCCCCUACCCGAGCACAGCUUUUACCAGAGCGCAGUUCCUCAUAGGUGUUCAAGCGCUGGGCUUCAGCUGUGCCUGAAGCAUAACCAGGCUGAAAUGAACCUGGCCAAAAGGGUUGUGGUCUUGUGCAAACAGACCUAACUAAAACCUCAGAAAGGCCUGUCCGUCCAGAUUCUUGCAGGCCUUCUGUGUUGCAUUCCUUCCUUGUGGGGCACGGGCCAAGGCCUGCUUCUGAGAUAAAGGUCUUAUCUCAGAGGAUUGGUGGCCAUCUCCUAGGCAGCCAGGCAGGAACUCCAAGAUAGAAUAGGUGAAGGAAGAUUUGAGCUUUGAUAACCUGUCCCGGAGAAGAGAAGAUUUAGCCCGUAUGGCCUGCCUUGCUAAGGGAGAGUAAAGUCAAGAACUAUGGACAAAAACAAGGACAGCAAAAUAAUGCAGAGUGUAAUAUCACAGUUCCUCGGGGCUCGUAGGGGGAGCGUUCCCUGCAUAUAUGACAUAUGGGAGGAUUUGUUCAGUGACUUACGCGGAGU